rnacentral:rRNA from 1 species
GACGAACGCUGGCGGCGUGCUUAACACAUGCAAGUCGAACGAUGAAGCUGGAGCUUGCUCUGGUGGAUUAGUGGCGAACGGGUGAGUAACACGUGAGUAACCUGCCCUGGACUCUGGGAUAACCCCGAGAAAUCGGAGCUAAUACCGGAUAGGACCUUGGAUCGCAUGAUCUGGGGUGGAAAGUUUUUCGGUAUGGGAUGGACUCGCGGCCUAUCAGCUUGUUGGUGAGGUAAUGGCUAACCAAGGCGUCGACGGGUAGCCGGCCUGAGAGGGUGACCGGCCACACUGGGACUGAGACACGGCCCAGACUCCUACGGGAGGCAGCAGUGGGGAAUAUUGCACAAUGGGCGCAAGCCUGAUGCAGCAACGCCGCGUGCGGGAUGACGGCCUUCGGGUUGUAAACCGCUUUUAGUAAGGAAGAAGCCGCAAGGUGACGGUACUUGCAGAAAAAGGACCGGCUAACUACGUGCCAGCCGCCGCAGUAACAC